GACGAACGCUGGCGGCGUGCUUAACACAUGCAAGUCGAGCGGAAAGGCCCUUCGGGGUACUCGAGCGGCGAACGGGUGAGUAACACGUGAGUAAUCUGCCCCGUACUCUGGGAUAGCCUCUGGAAACGGAGAUUAAUACCGGAUAUUCAUCAGAUACCGCAUGGUGUUUGGUGGAAAGUUUUUCGGUACGGGAUGUGCUCGCGGCCUAUCAGCUUGAUGGUGAGGUAACGGCUCACCAUGGCUUCGACGGGUAGCCGGCCUGAGAGGGUGACCGGCCACACUGGGACUGAGACACGGCCCAGACUCCUACGGGAGGCAGCAGUGGGGAAUAUUGGACAAUGGGCGAAAGCCUGAUCCAGCAACGCCGCGUGAGGGAUGACGGCCUUCGGGUUGUAAACCUCUUUCAGGACAGACGAAGCGCAAGUGACGGUAUGUUCAGAAGAAGGACCGGCCAACUACGUGCCAGCAGCCGCAGUAACAC
rnacentral:rRNA from 1 species